GUUGUGGCUCAGCGGUAGAGUGCUCGCCUAGCAUGUGCAAGGUCCUGAGUUUGAUCCUCAGCAUUACA
rnacentral:tRNA from 1 species